rnacentral:rRNA from 1 species
GUCUACGGCCAUACUACCCUGAACAUGUCUGAUCUCAUCUGAUUUCAGAAGCUAAGCAGGGUUGGGCCCCGUUAGUUCUUGUGUGGGAGAAA